ACUUCUGAUGUAAAAACCAGUCUCUAUCAACCCCUCAGAUACUAUAGUCUUACUUCUGAUGUAAAAACCAGUCUCUAUCAACCCUCAGAUACUAUAGUCUUACUUCUGAUCUAUCAUGUCUCUAGGAUAGCAAUGUUCCAAGUUUAACCCAGAAUCCAACACUAGGUUUAAUCUGUAUCCAGGAAACCGGCCCGUAGUGUGAAGUUUAUAGUGCAUCUGAAGAUGGAUCCCAGAGGGUUUCUACAGUACACAUUAGAAAUGAUAGUCCCAGAAGGUUUCUACAGUACACAUUAGAAAUGAUAGUCCCAGAAGGUUUAUACAGUACACAUUAGAAAUGAUAGUCCCAGAAGGUUUUUACAGUACACAUUAGAAAUUAUGCCGUGGUCUUGUGACAGUUCCAGGGUUCCGAGAUUCCACUGUGAAUGACCGACAGGUAAGGUAAGAAUAUCCCUUUGAACUUGAGUCAUAAACAAUUAAUUACACUGUAACAACACUUCUCUUUUUUGUAAGUAUUUGGUCACAUGUCACACUUGAGCAAGAUUAAAGUAAAACUAAUCUCUCUUAUUUUAAUCCAUUUUCCACAUCGCAACUCUGAUCAAUGGAAGCGUUUAUUUUCCUAGUUAAAUCAAGACACUGUUGAGUAGCUGGCAAGCACACACGAGAUUUGUUUAUGAGGAUUAGUGACUAUAAAGCCUUUUGUUUAGCCUGGCUCUGGCACAAAUCAGUCCGGUGCUGAUAUCGAGUGUGACUAAAGUACUAACUAUCCACAGUCCCCUCCCCGAUUUCAUCGCCGGGGGACAACUAAAAUCAGAUCUCCCCAACUCAGUGGAGAUCAAAGCCGUCCCUGAGCCAGGGUCUGGUAGCCCAUAGGUUAAAGGUCACUGAAAAGACGUUGCCACAAGCAGCGCCGAAGAUUAUGGGCGUGAUCGAACGGAUCACUUUUGUCAAAUCGGUGACUUUCAAAGUGUGUUGCAUUAUGGGAAUAAAAAUGGUCCGACUUGUGCCUAAUGUGUAGACUGCGUAAGCUUGACAUAAAUCACGUGAUCAUGGAGUCGUGAGGUUUUGACUGCUGCCGACUAGAAGUUCCUGGAAGUUGCUCUUCA